GGUUAUAUAAAGGGGCCAAGUAAGAAGUAAAUUAGAAUUACAGUUAAUUCCAAAUAAUCUUUUUUUUAAUAAUUGUGCUGUUAAAGAGUAAAAUGUAUAGAUGGGUGAUAGCAAUUUUUAAGGAAGAGUGGGCGGUAAUGAGGCUGUUAAACUCUGGGGAUAAACCAGGAUUAGAUACCCUGUUAUACUAGAGCGAAAAAGCAACGAUCUUGAGUAAUAAAAAUAAAUUAGUUUGAAAUUCAAAGAGUUUGGCGGUAUUUUAGUCCGGCUAGAGGAACCUGUUUUAUAAAUGAUACUCCACGUAAUAUCUUUCUUGCUCUCAGAAUUAGUAUACCAUCAUUAUUAGAUAAUUUGGUUGAUAAAAAUUAUUGGGGUUAGUCUUUACUAAAUAUAUUAGAUCACGGUGCUGUCUAUGGGUAAGUACAAAUGGGUUACAAUAAAUUAUAAUUUAUUACGGAGCUAUUAGUGAAAUAAGAUAGUGAAGGGGGAUUUAAUAGUAAUAUAAGUUUAAUAUGCUUAUGUGAGACAGGCUCUAAAAUGUGUACAUAUUGCCCGUCGCUUUCAUAAAUAAGUGAGAUAA
rnacentral:rRNA from 1 species